rnacentral:rRNA from 1 species
ACGUAGGGUGCGAGCGUUAAUCGGAAUUACUGGGCGUAAAGGGUGCGCAGGCGGUUGAGUAAGACAGAUGUGAAAUCCCCGAGCUUAACUCGGGAAUGGCAUAUGUGACUGCUCGGCUAGAGUGUGUCAGAGGGAGGUGGAAUUCCACGUGUAGCAGUGAAAUGCGUAGAUAUGUGGAAGAACACCGAUGGCGAAGGCAGCCUCCUGGGACAUAACUGACGCUCAGGCACGAAAGCGUGGGGAGCAAACAG